GGGGCAGAAAAUUGGGU
rnacentral:misc_RNA from 1 species